rnacentral:rRNA from 1 species
UUGCUUUCUUUGCUGGCGACCGGCGCACGGGUGAGUAACACGUAUCCAACCUGCCCUUUACUCGGGGAUAGCCUUUCGAAAGAAAGAUUAAUACCCGAUGGCAUAAUGAUUCCGCAUGGUUUCAUUAUUAAAGGAUUCCGGUAAAGGAUGGGGAUGCGUUCCAUUAGGUUGUUGGUGGGGUAACGGCCCACCAAGCCUUCGAUGGAUAGGGGUUCUGAGAGGAAGGUCCCCCACAUUGGAACUGAGACACGGUCCAA